rnacentral:rRNA from 1 species
GAUGAACGCUGGCGGCGUGCCUAAUACAUGCAAGUCGAACGCAUUGUGGUUGAAAUGAUAUGAAGAACUUGUUCAGAUUUGAUUUUCAACAUUGCAAUGAGUGGCGAACGGGUGAGUAACACGUGGGAAACCUACCUCUUAGCAGGGGAUAACAUUUGGAAACAAAUGCUAAUACCGUAUAAUAAUUAAAACCGCAUGGUUUUAGUUUAAAAGAUGGUCUUGCUAUCACUAAGAGAUGGUCCCGCGGUGUAUUAGUUAGUUGGUGAGGUAAUGGCUCACCAAGACAAUGAUACAUAGCCGAGUUGAGAGACUGACCGGCUACAAUGGACUGAGACACGGCCCAUACUCCUACGGGAGGCAGCAGUAGGGAAUCUUCCACAA